GCCAUGCUGAAUAUACCGGUUCUCGUUAGAUCAAAGUUACAAAAAAAAAAAAAAGUCACCGAAAUUAAAGGAAUAGUUAAGCAUCAUUGGGCGCGGUCAGUACUUGGGUGGGUGACCACCUGGGAACACUGCGUGCCGUUG